rnacentral:siRNA from 1 species
AGCAUUUGGUCAAUGAAUGGUA